AGUAUAGCUCAAGUGGCAGAGUACAUGCUUAGCAUGCAUGAGGUCCUGGGUUCAAUCCCUGGUGUU
rnacentral:tRNA from 1 species